rnacentral:rRNA from 1 species
UCCUACCUACGGGGGGCAGCAGUGGGGGAUAUUACACAAUGGGGGAAACCCUGAUGCAGCGACGCCGCGUGGGUGAAGAAGCGCCUCGGCGCGUAAAGCCCUGUCAGCAGGGAAGAAAAUGACGGUACCUGAAGAAGAAGCCCCGGCUAACUACGUGCCAGCAGCCGCGGUAAUACGUAGGGGGCAAGCGUUAUCCGGAUUUACUGGGUGUAAAGGGGGCGCAGACGGCGAUGCAAGCCAGGAGUGAAAGCCCGGGGCCCAACCCCGGGGCUGCUCUUGGAACUGCGUGGCUAGAGU